rnacentral:rRNA from 1 species
AGGACGAACGCUGGCGGCGUGCUUAACACAUGCAAGUCGAGCGGUAAGGCCCUUCGGGGUACACGAGCGGCGAACGGGUGAGUAACACGUGAGCAAUCUGCCCUCCACAUCGGGAUAACCCCCGGAAACGGGAGCUAAUACCGGAUACGACCACUUCAGGCAUCUGAUGGUGGUGGAAAGUUCCGGCGGUGGAGGAUGAGCUCGCGGCCUAUCAGCUUGUUGGUGGGGUAACGGCCCACCAAGGCUUCGACGGGUAGCCGGCCUGAGAGGGUGACCGGCCACACUGGGACUGAGACACGGCCCAGACUCCUACGGGAGGCAGCAGUGGGGAAUAUUGGACAAUGGGCGAAAGCCUGAUCCAGCAACGCCGCGUGAGGGAUGACGGCCUUCGGGUGUAAGCACUUUGUCCGGAAGAAAGCUUCGGGUUAAUACCCGGGGUCCUGACGGUACCGGAAGAAUAAGCACCGGCUAACUUCGUGCCAGCAGCCGC